rnacentral:rRNA from 1 species
UACGUAGGGGGCGAGCGUUUGUCCGGAUUUAUUGGGCGUAAAGAGCGUGUAGGCGGUUCGGUAAGUCUGUCGUGAAAUCCUGAGGCUCAACCUCGGGCGUGCGAUGGAUACUGCCGGGCUAGAGUCCGGAAGAGGAGAGUGGAAUUCCUGGUGUAGCGGUGAAAUGCGCAGAUAUCAGGAAGAACACCCGUGGCGAAGGCGGCUCUCUGGGACGGUACUGACGCUGAGACGCGAAAGCGUGGGGAGCGAACAGG